GGGGAAUCUUCCGCAAUGGGCGCAAGCCUGACGGAGCAAGACCGCGUGCGGGAGGACGGCCUAUUGGUUGUAAACCGCUUUUGAUAGGGAAGAAGCUCUGACGGUACCUAUCGAAUCAGCAUCGGCUAACUCCGUGCCAGCAGCCGCGGUAAUACGGAGGAUGCAAGCGUUAUCCGGAAUUAUUGGGCGUGCUGCGUCCGUAGGUGGUUGUUCAACUUUAAUGUUAAAGCGUGCCGUUUAACCGCAUACCAGCAGCGGAAAAUGGGCGUCUAGAGUGCGGCAGGGGUCUGGGGAAUUCCCAGUGUAGCGUUGAAAUGCGUAGACCGUGGGAAGAACACCAGCGGCGAAAGCGCGUGACAGGGCAUGAACUGGCAGCCCGCCGCCAAAGAAAAGGGAGCGAAUGGGAUUAGAUACCCCAGUAGAC
rnacentral:rRNA from 1 species